rnacentral:lncRNA from 1 species
AGAGCCAGUUAACAUUUAGGGAGUUAUCUGUUUUCAUCUUGAGGUGGCCAAUAAAUGUAAAAAAUAUCUCUUGUUGGUUAUAAUGAAUAGGGAAGUGAAAAAAGUAGUAACAAAUAUUUAUUUAGUACACUGCAAUUUAAAACAUUAGAAAUAUUGAGAUUUAAAGUGUUUUUCUAAAGAAAACUUACCAAAAUAACCACUGCUAAGAAUUUUUCUUCCUCUGUCUCUAAAUUCUUAACUAAUAUCUUAAGAUAUACAGGUUGGUCUUACCUACUUAUGGGAGACAUUUUGGAAGGUGCACUUUAAAAGUAUUUUUAUUUUUCAACAUUGAAAAAUUUUAUAGGUAUGAACGCUUCAAUCAUUUCAUUAUAGGAAAAAUCCCCCA